AUUGAACGCUGGCGGCAGGCCUAACACAUGCAAGUCGAACGAGUGGCGGACGGGUGAGUAAUGUCUGGGAAACUGCCCGAUGGAGGGGGAUCACUACUGGAAACUGUAGCUAAUACCGCAUACCAUCGGAUGUGCCCAGAUGGGAUUAGCUAGUGGGGGGGGUAACGGCUCACCUAGGCGACGAUCCCUAGCUGGUCUGAGAGGAUGACCAGGCACACUGGAACUGAGACACGGUCCAGAAUCCUACGGGAGGCAGCAGUGGGGAAUAUUGCACAAUGGGCGCAAGCCUGAUGCAGCCAUGCCGCGUGUAUGAAGAAGGCCUUCGGGUUGUAAAGUACUUUAAGCGAGGAGGCGUUACUCGCAGAAGAAGCACCGGCUAACUCCGUGCCAGCAGCCGCGGUAAUUC
rnacentral:rRNA from 1 species